rnacentral:lncRNA from 1 species
UGGGAAAAUGAGAAUGAAACUUGAUUAAGAAGGAUGCUUGUUGCCGGAUGGAGGGGAAGGAUGCUUGUCAUCGAAAAUGGGUUGGAAGAAAGCUCGUCAUUGGUUGCCCAUCGGGAAGAGAUGCUGGUGGCGGGGUGGCGAUGGAAGAAAGGGACCUCAGCUGCUCAAUCUCAAAAAUGGAAAACUCUGAAGAGAUACGGAAGUCGAGAAAGUGGAAGAGGAGUCAUAUAUUCUUAUAGGGAUAAUUUUGACAUUUUAUAUUAGAUAGACCAUUCCUUUAACGUUGU